rnacentral:rRNA from 1 species
GUGGGGAAUCUUGCGCAAUGGGCGAAAGCCUGACGCAGCCAUGCCGCGUGGAUGAUGAAGGUCUUAGGAUUGUAAAAUCCUUUCACCGGUGAAGAUAAUGACUGUAGCCGGAGAAGAAGCCCCGGCUAACUUCGUGCCAGCAGCCGCGGUAAUACGAAGGGGGCUAGCGUUGCUCGGAUUUACUGGGCGUAAAGGGCGCGUAGGCGGACAUUUAAGUCAGGGGUGAAAUCCCGGGGCUCAACGGCGGAACUGCCUUUGAUACUGGGGGUCUUGAGUAUGAGAGAGGUGUGUGGAACUCCGAGUGUAGAGGUGAAAUUCGUGGAUAUUCGGAAGAACACCAGUGGCGAAGGCGACACACUGGCUCAUUACUGACGCUGAGGCGCGAAAGCGUGGGGAGCAAACAGGAUUAGAAACCCCAGUAGUCC